ACGGAAGGCAGCAGUGAGGAAUAUUGGUCAAUGGGCGAGAGCCUGAACCAGCCGAGUCGCGUGAGGGAAGACGGCCCUAUGGGUUGUAAACCUCUUUUAUGCGGGAAUAAAGUGCUCCAUGCGUGGGGUUUUGCAUGUACCGCAGGAAUAAGGAUCGGCUAACUCCGUGCCAGCAGCCGCGGUAAUACGGAGGAUCCGAGUGUUAUCCGGAUUUAUUGGGUUUAAAGGGUGCGUAGGCGGGGGAUCAAGUCAGUGGUGAAAUGGUGCGGCUCAACCGUAGCAUUGCCGUUGAAACUGGUCUUCUUGAGUGCGAAUGAGGUGGGCGGAAUGUGUCAUGUAGCGGUGAAAUGCAUAGAUAUGACACAGAACACCGAUUGCGAAGGCAGCCCACUGGGACGCGACUGACGCUGAGGCACGAAAGUGCGGGGAUCGAACAGGAUUAGAUACCCUGGUA
rnacentral:rRNA from 1 species